rnacentral:rRNA from 1 species
UCUGGCGUAAUAAGUUUCGCUGGUGUCGGCUUGAGAAGUACGCUUCUAAUCGUCUUCGGACAAUUCUUGAACUCUGGUCUCAAAUCAGGUAGGGCUACCCGCUGAACUUAAGCAUAUCAAUAAGCGGAGGAAAAGAAACUAACAAGGAUUCCCUUAGUAACGGCGAGUGAACCGGGAAAAGCUCAAAUUUGUAAUCUGGCUGUCUUCGAUAGUCCGAGUUGUAAUCUAUAGACGUGUUUUCCGUGCUGGACCGUAUCUAAGUCCCUUGGAACAGGGUAUCAAAGAGGGUGACAAUCCCGUGCUUGAUACGACCACCAGUGCUCUGUGAUACACGCUCUACGAGUCGAGUUGUUUGGGAAUGCAGCUCAAAAUGGGUGGUAAAUUCCAUCUAAAGCUAAAUAUUGGCGAGAGACCGAUAGCGAACAAGUACCGUGAGGGAAAGAUGAAAAGCACUUUGGAAAGAGAGUUAAACAGUACGUGAAAUUGUUGAAAGGGAAACGAUUGAAGUCAGUCGUGUUCUUUGGAUUCAGCUAGUUCUUCUAGUCUACUUCCUUUGAACGGGUCAACAUCAGUUUUGUCCGGUGGAUAAAGAUAGUAGGAAUGUAGCUCCCUCGGGAGUGUUAUAGACUAUUAUUGCAUGCACUGGGUGAGACUGAGGACUGCAGCUCGCCUUUUGGCCG